GACGAGGGUGGCAAGCGUUAUCCGGAUUUAUUGGGUGUAAAGCGUCCCUAGGCGGCCUAAUAAGUUUUUAGUUAAAUCUCAGGGCUCAACCCAGAGCUUGCUAAAAAAACUAUUAGGCUAGAGGCCGGAUGAGGUCAGCGGAAUGGCCGGUGUAGUAGUUAAAUGCGUUAAUAUCGGCUAGAACACCAAAAGCGAAGGCAGCUGACUAACACGGUUCUGACGCUCAUAGGACGAAAGCGUGGGUAACGAAUGGGAUUAGAUACCCCAGUAGUCCACGCUGUAAACGAUGGGUACUGAACAUUGGAAGUAUCGACCCUUUCAGUGUUGUUUAUCUAAGCUAACGCGUUAAGUACCCCACCUGGGGAGUACGGCCGCAAGGCUAAAACUCAAAGGAAUUGACGGGAGUCCGCACAAGCGGUGGAGCAUGUGGUUUAAUUCGACGAUAAGCGGGGAACCUUACCAGGGUUUGACAUCCCGAGAAUCCCGAUGAAAGUCGGGAGUGCCUUUUGGAGCUCGGUGACAGGUGCUGCAUGGUUGUCGUCAGCUCGUGUCGUGAGAUGUCGGGUUAAGUCCUUUAACGAGCGCAACCCCUACUUUGUGUUAAAUAUUCACAAAGAACUGCCUCGGUUAACGAGGAGGAAGGCGGGGACGACGUCAAAUCAGCAUGGCUCUUACACCCUGGGCUACACACGUGCUACAAUGGCGAGUACAAAGAGUUUGCAAAACCGCAAGGUGAAGCUAAUCUCAUCAAAACUCGUCUCAGUUCGGAUUGAGGUCUGCAACUCGACCUCAUGAAGCUGGAAUCGCUAGUAACCGUGAAUCAGCCACGUCACGGUGAAUACGUUCUCGGACUU
rnacentral:rRNA from 1 species